GUGCCAGGUGUGUACGCUGCCACCAGAUGUUCACCGAAGGAGAGGAAAUGUACCUCACAGGUUCCGAGGUUUGGCACCCCAUCUGCAAACAGGCAGCCCGGGCAGAGAAGAAGUUAAAGCAUAGACGGACAUCUGAAACCUCCAUCUCACCCCCUGGAUCCAGCAUUGGGUCACCCAACCGAGUCAUCUGCGUAUGUAUCACUUUUCUACCACCAAAGGGCCUUCUUUAUUCCUGACCUGGUAUAUAAAGAGUCACUAAGGAUAAGGGAGCUCUCAAGUUUUCAUCCAGCUGACAUUUGAUGCAUGCUCUUCAUGUGCUAGGCUCUGUACCAGGUCUUGAGGAUCCAGUGGGGUACAGGGAGGACAUAGAUCCCGCCCUCAUGAAGCAAACAGUCUAGUAAACCCAGAGUUUCAGGGAUAAUGCAGAGUUCCAUGGAGCACGAGAAAGAAAGUACAAUGACAGCAAGAGCCCUUGCUGAGUUCUAAAACCAAUGCAAGGUGCCUCAUUUCCCACUACUUAACUGAGAGCAAGAAAAAACUGAGGAUCAAAGUGGUAUUCUGAAUAGGUAUUAGGUGGAAUAUUGAUGUGGAGAUAGUGGUGGGUGAUAAAGAGGCAGAAAGGAGAAGGAAGCCACAUACACAUGUGGAAACAUGGCUGUAAAGAAUUUGCAAACAUAAGGAAGAGGUUUCUAAUCAUGUGGGAAGUCCAGGGAUGGAGCAGACCCACCUCCAUGUGUCUGAGCUCCCAUCUCCACAGGCAUUCAAACACAGAGAGACUCAUCAUUUGCCAGGGAUGUAGAAGAAGAGACAGAAGUUGAGUUCAAUGACCUCAGAGGCCCCUUGUAUAUGUCAUUCAUUCAUUCAACAAACAUGUGCCAAGCAUUUACUCUGCUAAGCACAGUGCUCUGCUCUGGGGAAAUGGUGAUGAACUACACAGACUUGAUGCCUGUCCUCAUGACAUUGAAGACAUAGUGCCAUGAAUCAUCAAUUGCAGUUAUAAAUUCCAGGAAAGAAAAGCACAGGGUCCUCUGAUGAUACUACAGAUAAACAGAGGGACCUGACAAUCUAGGACUAGUUGGGAGAAGGCAUCCCGAGGAAGAAACAUUAAACUCAAAGCAGAGGGAUAAACAGAAAUAAGCUAAAGGAGGUGGGAAACGCAGAGCCAGGGAGAGCUGAAACGAGCAGAAAACCUCAAUCUGAUUGACUCUGGACUGUUCCAGCCUUCCACAAGCCAAAGGAGCCAAGAAGACCAGAAAUGUGGGGAAAAUGGUCUGUAACAAGAAACCCAUUCCUGACAAGAAGCUCUAGAUAGAGUCAGCAAACCAGCCAGCCCUGGCCCUGUCCACUACUGCCAGAUCAUUACUUCAAAUCCACAUCCAGUCUCCUCUUUGAUCCCUGGAUAAUGCCCAUUGAUGGGACUAUGGGCACCUUUCCUUUCUUCUCUGGUCAAAUGG
rnacentral:lncRNA from 10 species